ACUCAAAUGAAUAGACGGGGGCCCGCACAAGCGGUGGAGCAUGUGGUUCAAUUCGACGCAACGCGAAGAACCUUACCCAGGCUUGAACUGCGAGUGACAUCCUACGAAAGUAGGCUUCCGCAAGGACACUCGUAGAGGUGCUGCAUGGCUGUCGUCAGCUCGUGUCGUGAGAUGUUGGGUUAAGUCCCGCAACGAGCGCAACCCUUGUCUUCUGUUGCCAUCGGGUUAUGCCGGGCACUCUGAAGAGACUGCCGGUGACAAACCGGAGGAAGGUGGGGAUGACGUCAAGUCAGCAUGGCCUUUAUGUCUGGGGCCACACACGUGCUACAAUGGCCGGUACAAACCGUCGCGAUCUCGUGAGAGGGAGCUAAUCGGAGAAAGCCGGUCUCAGUUCGGAUUGUAGGCUGCAACUCGCCUGCAUGAAGUUGGAAUCGCUAGUAAUCGCGGAUCAGCACGCCGCGGUGAAUACGUUCCCGGGCCUUGCACACACCGCCCGU
rnacentral:rRNA from 1 species